UAAGAAGCACCGAGAGGGAGGGGACGCAGCGUAAUAUUCCCACCGUUUUUUCUCUCCUCCGUGUAGAGCCGAAAAAACAAGGGCAUCCAUCGCUCUCCUCAUCUUCCUCGCCACCAAAUCUAGGCUGAAUAUACGUCUCAAUUUGUCAUUUCCUCAGCUGUAAACACUCAUCUCUAUCUCCUCUUCCUCUUCCUCCCCCACCUGGAGGUUUUGGUUUCCAGCCCGGCAGGAGGGGAUUUCCGAGCCGAGCGGCAGGGCGUGAGAGGCGGAUGCUGCGAGCGUAAAGUCUGGGUACCAACCGGGAGCAUCACCGUCACACACUCAGCACCACGAUGGACAGAAUGAAUUUUCUCUCCUUCUUCCUCCUUUGCUUGACUUCAGUUGCCAGUAGCAACAAAGCCAAUAAGCACAAGCCAUGGAUCGAGACAGAGUACCAGGGGAUCGUCAUGGAGAACGACAACACGGUGCUGCUCAACCCCCCCCUGUUCGCCCUGGACAAAGAUGCUCCUCUGCACUACGC